rnacentral:lncRNA from 1 species
AAAUGAUAAAAUCAACUGAAUAAAAGACUUACGUUAGAAAUGGAAUGAAAAUUCAUACAUUUUCUCACAAAUUCACUAUCUCUGUGACCUAGAUGUUUCAAUUCUAUAGAUACUAAUAAUGAUAAUUGUGAACCCUUGCAACAUAGAUUGAAUCAAACUCAAAUACAUUAGUAACCAUUGACAACAACUAAUUUCCUAGAAAUGGACACAUACAUUGUUAUGUGGUCAUCUAUCCUCUGGAUUGCUUCCACAUGUCUAUAGUCUUUGAAGUACUGCACAACUGCCAUUAUUGUCGAAAGAAUAUCUCCAGGUCUCCGUCCAAUUCCAUGUCUUCCAACUGUGUCUCUCGAGAAUAAUUUUUGUCGAACCUUGUAAUCUUUGUGGUGAACCAUGCUUCAGUUACUUGUGUUUAUCCUGUGUAUUUAUCUCAUACACUUUUCCCAUCAAAUAUGCCAAAUCUCUACAAAUAUUUUCAAGAUUCUGGACAUAUUUGAAGAGAUAGGGAUCCUAAUCGUGUGGAUCUGUUCUUGAGAUUCUUCCAAACCAUGCUUAGUGGGUUUAAGUUCAUCUUGAGUCUAAAAUCAUAGGUUAUUAAGUAGAUUAUAGUUUUUGAUUCAUGAUUCCUCGUUUAACUUUUUGAAACAAAAUUCAUAUAUUCAAAACUACACUUUCUUUACCAAUUAGAAGUGAAUGAUACAUAGAAAGUAUAUUAUAAUCAAUUUUACUUAAAACUAUGUUAAUAGUGGUGGUAAACAGAUAUGUCUUAUUUGUUUAGGUCAACUCUAUAAAAGACAAUAGAAAAAUGGAGCAGGACAAGCAUAGUAAACGAAGCAAACCUAAAAACCUAACUCGUCCAACAAAAAAUUGAGGGAAUUAGGCGAUUCUAACGAGUCCUGCAUCCAUAAAGCUUACAAAUUACAAAAAAUUCAUGUUUAAUCCGUUAAUGCCCGCGCUCGUAAAAAAAGAGAUGAGACAAAACAAAAUUAGUAGAGAGUCCAUAUAUAAAAUAUUAGUUUGACCUGUAAAAAAUACAUAUAAAAUGGGUAAUACUUAUUGAACCUGACUCGUUUCGCCACCCUAUCUACUGGUAUAUCUCAUUUUAAUGGAACCACUUGUUUAAACCUUAGGAUGGUAAAUGGGGUUAAGAGUGAGAAAUCUCAAGCUGGUUAAUUUAUCCCUUCUAACAAAGUGAAGUUGGACGUUGCUUGUUGAAGACUCUAAUCUCUGGAGGGAUAUUCUAAUAAAUAGAUAUGAUGAGACUUCUAUUUCCUCUCAUUGAGGAGCUAGGUGUAAAGGUUUAUGAUCUUCUUCAUCCUGGUGAAAAAAGAUAUGUCUUCUUAGAUCUAAAGAGGAGUGUAACUCUGAUUGGUUUUCUGAUGGCAUUGUUAGCAAAGUGGGGUUGAGUUUUCAUACUUCCUUUUGGAAAGACUCGUAGUUAGGAAGCAUUCCCUUAAUGUUCAAGUUUCCUACUUUGUUAUCCAUUUCUCUCUGGUCGAAAGACAUGAUGGUGAGUUAGGAGUGAUUGUUAAUAGGAUCUUAGAUGGAGAAGAUCCUUCUUUCUUAGAGAAUUUCAUGUUGUUGAUGACUUUCAUACCUUACUUAGAGACGCUAUCCUUACCAUGCACCGAGAUAAGUGGGUUUGGAAGCAUUCUAGUGAGAGAACUUUUUCAGUGGCCUCCGCUUAUCUAGUUCAAUGGGAAAGUUUGACCUCUUCUUUUGUUAUGCUCAUGUUUCAUAGUUAAAUCCCCCCCUUCAUUUGGAGUAGUUGGGUGCCGCCCAAGAUCUUGGUUUUUUCUUGACAGUUAUUGCAGGAUAAAUUUUCAUUCAGAGUUAACCUUUCUAAAAUAUGGCCUUUUAAUUGAUUUUUCUAGGCUUUCUUGUCCCUUAUGUGAGGUUUUUUUGUUGAGACGGUUUCUCAUCUUUUUGUUACUUCUGAGAUAGUCGUGCCGGUGUGGUAUAGAAUUUUUAGGUGGCUGAGGCGGCAAAUAAUUAUUCACCAAAAUUUUAGUGUGUUGUUUGAGUAUUUCCUUUCUUUAGGAGGUGUGCUUAAGUAUAUCAGUGAUUGUCUUAUGUUGUGGUAUGCAGUAAUCUGGUCAAUUUGGAAAGCUGAUAUGAUGAUAUCUUUAAUGGGAUCAAAAAGACAUUGAUAUAGGUAGAGAAGAAGAAUACUUUUUUGUUUGGAAAUGGUUUUUAAAUAAAUUUGUGACGAUUUCUUACACCUUCAUGAAUUGACUUCAAAAUCCUAUCCUCUAUAUUUAUAGAGGAGCGAGUUUUUAUCUUGAUUUAGAAUGUGGUGGUGGAUUUUUUAAUUUUUUUUAUUGGAAUCUAAUGUGGUUCUAAUUCACUCAAGACCUAACAUGUGAAUAGUGAGAUUUGACUCCAGAUCUAAUGCGCGAAUAGUUGGUUGUGUUUUUCCUUGUGCCGGUGUUUUGUUUGUCUUCAGCUAUUUCUAAAUACUUUUAUACUUUUUUAUUUUAUAUGUAAAAUACUACUACUAUAUUUUAUUAAUAUAUUCUAUUUGCUACUACUUAUUAUAAAAAUUAAACCAUAAUAGAACAUGAGGAGAUGGGUGUUGAAUUUAGGACCCUGCAAAAGUGAUUUGGAAAUCUUGAGGAACGUUAUGAG